AAGCACUCUACCAACUGAGUUAUAUCCCCAUCCCUGACAUUGCAUUUCUAGAAAAGUUCAAGAAUUUUGGCCAAGUCACAGUUGCUAAACUUGUUUUCUCAACUGUAAAUACUACCUUAUAGGCUGUUGUAAGAACUGAUGAGCUGGUAAAUGUAAAAACUUUGACUGGUUCCUGCCUCAGAGUGGACAAACAAGUGGGAACUGUGCUUUCCCAAAAAGAGUUUCAAGGCCCUUUUUCAUUUUGGUUCUAGGACAGUUUAUAGGUUAUAUUCCAAAUAGUAACUUGAUAUUUAGGCUCACGUUUAGUAACUCAUAUUUGCACUUUUUUUAAUACCAGGGAUUGAACCCAGGGGCACUUAACCACUGAGCCACAUCCUCAGCCCAUUUUUUAAUAUUUUAUUUAGAGGCAGGGUUUAAUUUGCUGGCUUCGAAUUCAUGAUCAUCCUGCCUCAGCCUGAGCAGAG
rnacentral:lncRNA from 1 species